rnacentral:sRNA from 1 species
UCCGUCAGAAAAAGAAGGGCAGGCUGC